UACGAAGGGGGCUAGCGUUGUUCGGAAUUACUGGGCGUAAAGCGCGUGUAGGCGGUUGUCCAAGUUGGAUGUGAAAGCCUUGAGCUUAACUCAAGAAAUGCAUUCAGGACUGGAUGACUAGAGGACCGGAGAGGAUAGUGGAAUUCCCAGUGUAGUGGUGAAAUACGUAGAGAUUGGGAAGAACACCAGUGGCGAAGGCGGCUAUCUGGACGGUUUCUGACACUAAGACGCGAAAGCGUGGGGAGCAAACAGG
rnacentral:rRNA from 1 species